rnacentral:rRNA from 1 species
GAGUUUGAUCCUGGCUCAGGACGAACGCUGGCGGCGUGCCUAACACAUGCAAGUCGAACGGAGUUAAUGAUUUCGGUUAUUAACUUAGUGGCGCACGGGUGAGUAACGCGUGAGCAAUCUGCCUUUAAGAGGGGGAUAACAGUCGGAAACGGCUGCUAAUACCGCAUAAAGCAUCAAAUUCGCAUGUUUUUGAUGCCAAAGGAGCAAUCCGCUUUUAGAUGAGCUCGCGUCUGAUUAGCUGGUUGGCGGGGUAACGGCCCACCAAGGCGACGAUCAGUAGCCGGACUGAGAGGUUGAACGGCCACAUUGGGACUGAGACACGGCCCAGACUCCUACGGGAGGCAGCAGUGGGGAAUAUUGCGCAAUGGGGGAAACCCUGACGCAGCAACGCCGCGUGAUUGAAGAAGGCCUUCGGGUUGUAAAGAUCUUUAAUCAGGGACGAAAUAAAUGACGGUACCUGAAGAAUAAGCUCCGGCUAACUACGUGCCAGCCGCCGCGGUAAUUC